GACGAACGCUGGCGGCGCGCUUAACACAUGCAAGUCGAACGGAAAGGCCUGCUUUCCCUUGUGGAUUGCGGGUACUCGAGUGGCGAACGGGUGAGUAACACGUGAGUGAUCUGCCCCCAACUUGGGUAUAAGCCUGGGAAACUGGGUCUAAUCCCCGAUAGGACUGCAGGGUGGUGCCUGUGGUGGAAAACGAUUUUCUAGUGGUUGGGGAUGAGCUCGCGGCCUAUCAGCUUGUUGGUGGGGUAAUGGCCUACCAAGGCGGCGACGGGUAGCCGGCCUGGGAGGGUGGACGGCCACAUUGGGACUGAGAUACGGCCCAGACUCCUACGGGAGGCAGCAGUGGGGAAUAUUGCACAAUGGGCGGAAGCCUGAUGCAGCGACGCCGCGUGGGGGAUGACGGCCUUCGGGUUGUAAACUCCUUUCGACCGCGAGGAAGCCACCUGGUUGGAAGGGUGGUGACGGUAGUGGUAGAAGAAGCACCGGCUAACUACGUG
rnacentral:rRNA from 1 species